CUUUCGGGAAAGAGCGGCGGACGGGUGUGUAAGGCGUGGGGAACCUACCCUGUACACCGGGAAAACGUACCGAAAGGUAUGCGAAUCCGGGAUAAUAUGUUGGGGGGGNCUCUCUUGAGUAUCAAAGGUGGGCCAGUACAGGAUGGACCCGCGUCUGCUUAGCUAGUUGGUAAGGUAACGGCUUACCAAGGCGACGCUCAGUAGCCGACCUGAGAGGGUGAUCGGCCACAUGGGAACUGAGACACGGUCCAAACUCCUACGGGAGGCAGCAGUGGGGAAUAUUGCACCAUGGGCGAAAGCCUGAUGCAGCAACGCCGCGUGAGAGAUGAAGGCCUUCGGGUCGUACAACUAUGUCCUCACGGCAGAUAAUGAAGGUGAUUAGGGAGGACGACACGGAGUACUCAGUGCAAGCAGCAGCAGUCAUACGUCUGG
rnacentral:rRNA from 1 species